rnacentral:lncRNA from 1 species
UCGUUGAGAGAAGGAGCACAUGAGCUUCCGUGCCUUCCAAGCAUGUACUCGUAGGAGCAAGAAAAUUAGGCCUGGGACAAGUUCAUGCUCACAGAGAGCAUCCAUUCAACGUUGGGCCUGACUUCCUGGAUCUUGUGAUCUAAGCCUGUGGCCAUAAGUGCUCGGUGUGCACCUCGAAGAGACACACGGCUAGGAAUAAACAGCAAAUCGCUCUAUUACGAGUGUCAGAAUAGAGGGUAGGCGAUUGCCCAGAUUACCUGAACAACAAGACUUCAAAACGAAACAAAACUAAACAAAACAAAACGGAACGAAUCGAAACGAAACGAAACGAAACGAAAGGUGCACAACAGAUGAUGAUCGGUCUCCCGCUAAAUACAAAGUGUCACCAGUCAAGCACAGAAAAAACACUUGCUAACCUAGGCUCCAUUGCCUUAAACUUUGUUCAUCAGUUAAGACAAGAGUUAAGUCCAUCUUGUGGAGAGAAAGAAGGAUGGGAAAAGUUUCUUAGGCGUGAAUGUCAAAACAAAAUUAUGUCAUCAAGGCUCCUGGUGUAGUUUCCUUUUGUGGGAUGAUUUUAAUCUGGUUUUGGAAGAAUAUGUUUCUGGGGUGAUGGCUUUUAGAGAAUAUGUGACCUGUGGCUACCAGGUAAUCUUCUUACACACAGAGAGUGCUGUCUUGGGUGGUAUAAAAAGGCUGAGAGAAGAAACAAACAAACAAACAAAACAAACAAACAAACAAUGUUCUUGGCGCCAGCACGUUUCCAUCCACCAAAUGUGCACAUGUGGAGAUGUGGAUAUGGAGAUGUGGGUGAUUCAGCAACCCUCUCUCGGUCAAAGGGAGUGCCUCCCCUUCCCCAAUAAGUGAAACUUUAUUCCCUUAGAGAAAAGUGGCUUGGCCAUUCUACCAACUACCUGUAGCUGAUGUGACAAUGGUUCAAGGCAAGGCAGCCAAGGGUUCAGCAACCCUCGCUCGGUCAAAGGGAGUGCUUCCCCUUCCCCAAUAAGUGAAACUUUAUUCCCUUAGAGAAAAGUGGCUUGGCCAUUCUACCAACUACCUGUAGCUGAUGUGACAAUGGUUCAAGGCAAGGCAGCCA